UCCGUACAUAUGUGUGCGAUCCAAGGGGUGUCUGGGUGGGGUGUAUUCAGGGCAACAAACGUGACGUUUCCCCCCGAAACAGUUCACAGUAGGGACCCCUGUCUCCUUAUACAGUCCCCCUCUCAUGGCCAAUUUUCACCCCUUCCCAUGGCUGACGAAAUAAAUGGCUGCAGAGCCUGCUUCUUCAACCUGCUUCAGGUUCUUUUCCUUCCAUCCCCCUGUCCCCAUCUCUCUUCUCUUUCCUCUCUCACCCCACCUUUUCUCUGCAGAGCUGAUGGGGUUUCUUCUGGGAAAGUCAAGCCACUGAUGGAAGGGAGAAGCCACUGCUGGUUAUAGAGAGAAAGCACGACCCUUUCCAAGGUGAUUACCCAAACCGCAAGAUCCACCCAUCUGCGCUGACCCUGGGCGGGCAUCCCGCACCGCAAAUCCACCCCCUCCUCUCAGGUUCAAGUUGUCCUUGGGCGUGCUCCCUAUAGACCAUACUGUGGCGGAGUAGGGAGCCAGGCCCCUUCCCCUUUCAAACCCUUACCGUCCCCCCAUCCAGUACU
rnacentral:lncRNA from 1 species